GCCGGCGUGGUGGAAUGGUAGACACUCGGCACUUAAAAUGCCGCGAAGCGAAAGCUUCAUGCCGGUUCAAGCCCGGCCGCCGGCA
rnacentral:tRNA from 1 species